rnacentral:rRNA from 1 species
AUUGAACGCUGGCGGCAUGCCUUACACAUGCAAGUCGAACGGUAACAGGUCUUCGGAUGCUGACGAGUGGCGAACGGGUGAGUAAUACAUCGGAACGUGCCUAGUAGUGGGGGAUAACUACUCGAAAGAGUGGCUAAUACCGCAUGAGAUCUACGGAUGAAAGCAGGGGAUCGCAAGACCUUGUGCUACUAGAGCGGCCGAUGGCAGAUUAGGUAGUUGGUGGGAUAAAAGCUUACCAAGCCGACGAUCUGUAGCUGGUCUGAGAGGACGAUCACCCACACUGGGACUGAGACACGGCCCAGACUCCUGCGGGAGGCAGCAGUGGGGAAUUUUGGACAAUGGGCGAAAGCCUGAUCCAGCAAUGCCGCGUGCAGGAUGAAGGCCUUCGGGUUGUAAACUGCUUUUGUACGGAACGAAAAGCCCCGGGUUAAUACCCUGGGGUCAUGACGGUACCGUAAGAAUAAGCACCGGCUAACUACGUGCCAGCCGCCGCAGUAA